CAUAACAAAGGCUUGUUUCCGACGAGUGAAUCUAUCUAAAAAAAAACAUCUGUAAAUCAAUAUAUAAACAUAUUUACUCAUUUUUUAAAUUUUGUAACAAAGAAUCAUGCCCUUUCUGGUUGUAUCAUUACCUUUUUGCUGUACUGUUAAUAUCCACAGGUGCUUUAAAUAUUUUAAACUAGGGAAUCAUUUACCUACUAGAUGCAUGGAUGUACCGUUAUCUGGGCAACUGACCUGAACCUCGUAACCCUGUUCAGAAUCAUCACAAAUCUAAGCCUACAACCACUGAAGCUUAAUCCAAAUUAAAAACUUAAGGCAAAAAACUGUUGUGAAUCCAAGCCAAUACUUGGAAUCCCAUACCUGCAAUUGACAUUCAAGCAAGGCACUACACUGUUUAAGGCUUUCAGUUCUAGCAGAACUUUCAUCAUCUUUUAGAAAUGGUUCCAAUUCACUUCCAAACUGGUUUCUAUCAUGUUUUAAGCAAUCGAACCAUGCCAUCUGCUAUUCUUUGAAUUCCAACUAUGAAAAUAAGCAUGGAUUGCAAAUAUGAUAACAGCUUGUUAAAUUGCUAGAAAACCAAGUCGAAGACUACACUGGACUGCAUGCAACGGCAGUGCAACGAACGUGCUCGUAACAAUUCAUAUGCCACACCAUGGUUUGAAUCGUCUUCCAUAAUAUUACACGACAUGCAACACAAAUGAUACUACAUAUUACGGAAGUAUUACGGGCGAAAACCGGAUUCUAUGUUUAAAGUGCUGAAUAGCAUGAGCUAAAUACAACAAACGUAAAAAUGAAUAGUUCGCGUGAAAGAAUGGCUGAAAUCGAAACGCCUUGUAAGACACUACAUAUUGUAUACAAGGAAAUCUUCACGCUUCGUGUAGCUCUGAGCAAAUGCCAAUCCAUUUUCAGUUGGAUCUGAGAAAGCCAACUCGUCGGGUGAAAUAAUUUUGCCAUAAACGAAUUCUGUUCUCAUGGCAUCCAGUAAUCGUGAUGCAAUUUUACGACGACGGAAUGUUGGAAGAAUCCAAAUACGACUAAUACCACAAAGGGCUGGAGAAGGAUCAGCAGAGCAGCAUUUCCCAGACGAAGCUCCAGUUGAUGUCAUCAUUCGAUGUCCCUGAGUUACGCUAUGGGCGACGAGAACCCCAACUAUUUUUUUAUCCGCAAUGUACAGGGUUACGAAUUCCUAUCUCAGAAAAUCCAAGCUCGUUAUCAACCACCUUAGUUAAAACAUUUUCUAUUUUCUUCCAGCAAUGAACUGCAUCCCCAUGAUGGACUGCUAUAAUAUAUC